rnacentral:siRNA from 1 species
GGCCUCGAUGCCUCUUUCGGUUAC